UUCCCCUCGAAAACCCACUCUUUAAAGCUCAAUUGGAACAAACGUCAAUUUGUGGGAAACCUAAAGUGACGUUUGCUCCAAUUCAGCUUUAAAGAGCAGGUUUUCGAGAGGAA